GACGAACGCUGGCGGCAUGCCUAAUACAUGCAAGUCGAGCGAACAGAUGAAGUGCUUGCACUUCUGACGUUAGCGGCGAACGGGUGAGUAACACGUAAGGAAUCUACCUAUAAGCGGGGGAUAACAUUCGGAAACGGGUGCUAAUACCGCAUAAUAUCUUCUUCCGCAUGGAAGAAGAUUGAAAGACGGCUCUGCUGUCACUUAUAGAUGACCUUGCGGUGCACUAGUUAGUUGGUGGGGUAAUGGCCUACCAAGACGAUGAUGCAUAGCCGGACUGAGAGGGUGAUCGGCCACAUUGGGACGGGGACACGGCCCAAACUCCUACGGGAGGCAGCAGUAGGGAAUCUUCCGCAAUGGGCGAAGGCCUGACGGAGCAAUGCCGCGUGAGUGAAGAAGGCCUUCGGGUCGUAAAACUCUGUUAUAAGAGAAGAACAAAUUGUAGAGUAACUGCUACAGUCUUGACGGUAUCUUAUCAGAAAGCCACGGCUAACUACGUGCCAGCCGCCGCCGUAA
rnacentral:rRNA from 1 species